rnacentral:rRNA from 1 species
CAGGUCACUCCUACGGGAGGCAGCAGUGGGGAAUCUUGCGCAAUGGUCGAAAGACUGACGCAGCGACGCCGCGUGUGGGAGGACGCCUUUCGGGGUGUAAACCACUGUUGCCCGGGACGAACGGCUCGAUUCGUCGAGCGUGACGGUACCGGGUGAGGAAGCACCGGCUAACUCCGUGCCAGCAGCCGCGGUAAUACGGAGGGUGCGAGCGUUGUCCGGAAUCAUUGGGCGUAAAGGGCGCGUAGGUGGCCCGGUCAGUUCGUGGUGAAAGCGCGGGGCUCAACCCUGCGUCGGCCAUGAAUACUGCCGCGGCUGGAGCACUGUAGAGGCAGGCGGAAUUCCGGGUGUAGCGGUGGAAUGCGUAGAGAUCCGGAAGAACACCGGUGGCGAAGGCGGCUAUCUGGACCGACAUUGACGCUGAGGCGCGAAAGCGUGGGGAGCAAACAGGAUUAGAUACCCUGGUAGUCCACGCCGUAAACGAUGAGUGCUAGACGCUGGUAGGUUUACCUAUCGGUGUCGCAGCUAACGCAUUAAGCACUCCGCCUGGGGAGUACGGUCGCAAGAUUAAAACUUAAAGGAAUUGACG